rnacentral:rRNA from 1 species
AUUGAACGCUGGCGGCAGGCCUAACACAUGCAAGUCGAGCGAGCGGCGGAAGGGUGAGCAAUGUAUGGGAAACUGCCUGAUGGAUGGGGAUAACUACUGGACACUGUUGCUAAUUCCGUCUAGCAUCGCAUAUGCCCAGAUGGGAGUAGCUUGUAGGUGGGGUAAUGGCACACCUAGGCGACGAUCCGUAGCUGGUCUGAGAGGAUUACCAGCCACACUGGAACUGAGACACGGUCCAGCCUCCUACGGGAGGCAGCAGUGGGGAAUAUUGCACAAUGGGCGAAAGCCUGAUGCAGCCAUGCCGCGUGUGUGAAGAAGGCCUUCGGAUUGUAAAGCACUUUAAGCGAGGAGGCGUUACCCGCAGAAGAAGCACCGGCUAACUCCGUGCCAGCAGCCGCGGUAAUAC